UACGUAGGGUGCGAGCGUUAAUCGGAAUUACUGGGCGUAAAGCGUGCGCAGGCGGUUUGGCAAGUCAGAUGUGAAAUCCCCGAGCUCAACUUGGGAACUGCGUUUGAAACUGCCAGACUAGAAUAUGUCAGAGGGGGGUAGAAUUCCACGUGUAGCAGUGAAAUGCGUAGAGAUGUGGAGGAAUACCAAUGGCGAAGGCAGCCCCUUGGGAUAAUAUUGACGCUCAUGCACGAAAGCGUGGGGAGCAAACAGG
rnacentral:rRNA from 1 species